rnacentral:rRNA from 1 species
CCUACGGGUGGCAGCAGUGGGGAAUAUUGCGCAAUGGGCGAAAGCCUGACGCAGCGACGCCGCGUGAGGGAUGAAGGUCUUCGGAUCGUAAACCUCUGUCAGCAGGGAAGAACGGUCACUGUGCUAAUCAGCAGUCAAUUGACGGUACCUGCAAAGGAAGCACCGGCUAACUCCGUGCCAGCAGCCGCGGUAAUACGGAGGGUGCGAGCGUUAAUCGGAAUUACUGGGCGUAAAGCGGUCGUAGGCGGUAGUUCAAGGCAAGGGUGAAAUCCCCGCGCUCAAAGGGGGAACUGCCCUGGAAACUGGCAAACUGGAGAGUGUGAGAGGAUAGUGGAAUUCCAGGUGUAGGAGUGAAAUCCGUAGAUAUCUGGAGGAACAGCAGUGGCGAAGGCGACUAUCUGGCACAUAACUGACGCUGAGGAGCGAAAGCGUGGGUAGCAAACAGGAUUAGAUACCCGUGUAGUC